GGAGGUCAGGUGGGCUGCCAGGCCCAGGGCCAAUUGCUCCCUGGAGCCCAUCAACAAGGGACAGGACUCGGCAGGACCAGGCCGGCAGCCAUCCUGGUUGGCUUCCAGCGGGUACAAGGAGAAAUUGCAGCUGGCAGAAGCGCAGACUCCUGGUGCCACUCCAACACAGUGAGGGUAGAGGAAGGAGCUUUAGGAUUUCUGCAGUGUGAAGUACCAAGUGAUGGUCUCCUGUGGACCUUCGUGUGCCACAGCACCACCACAUACGUGAUGUUCAUAUGGAAGACCCUGUGAGCAGCUGGUUGGUGGGAGGCCCUAGUGGCUGGCUCGACACAACCCGGGUCAUUGUGCCAAUAGCAG
rnacentral:lncRNA from 1 species